CAGCUACUCCCUCCGUUCCAAAUUACUUGUCUUAGAUUUGUCUAGAUACAAAGGUAUCUAGCACUAAAAUGAGUCUAGAUACAUCCGUAUCUAGACAAAUCAAAGACAAGUAAUUCAGAACGGAGGGAGUAGGUU
rnacentral:pre_miRNA from 1 species